AAUAUAUUCCCUCCGUCCCGAAAUUAUUUUCUUAGGUUUGUCUAGAAAUGGAUGUAUCUAAAUACCAAAACAUGACUAGAUACAUUCAUAUGUAGACAAAUCUAAGACAAUAAUUUUGGGACGGAGGGAGUACUAG
rfam:Hordeum vulgare subsp. vulgare, WGS project CAJW01000000 data, contig: morex_contig_2583581